rnacentral:rRNA from 1 species
AUCAACUUUCGAUGGUAGGAUAGAGGCCUACCAUGGUGGUAACGGGUAACGGGGUGUUAGGGCACGACACCGGAGAGGGAGCCUGAGAAACGGCUACCACAUCCAAGGAUGGCAGCAGGCGCGCAAAUUACCCAAUCCCGACACGGGGAGGUAGUGACAAUAAAUAACAAUACGGGGUUCUUUCGGAUUUCGUAAUUGGAAUGAGUACAAUUUAAAUCUCUUAACGAGGAACAAUUGGAGGGCAAGUCUGGUGCCAGCAGCCGCGGUAAUUCCAGCUCCAAUAGCGUAUAUUAAAGUUGCUGCAGUUAAAAAGCUCGUAGUUGAAUUUCGGGACCGAUAUAUCGGUCGUGCCUCGGUACGUACUGGUAUUUUCGGUUUCUACCUUCUGACGAACCUUGAUGUCAUUAAUUUGGUGUCUUGGGGAAUCAGGACUGUUACUUUGAAAAAAUUAGAGUGUUUAAAGCAGGCUCACGCUUGAAUACAUUAGCAUGGAAUAAUGAAAUAGGACGUUUGAUUCUAUUUUGUUGGUUUCUAGGAUCGACGUAAUGAUUAAUAGGGAUAGUUGGGGGCAUUAGUAUUCAAUUGUCAGAGGUGAAAUUCUUGGAUUUAUUGAAGACUAACUACUGCGAAAGCAUUUGCCAAGGAUGUUUUCAUUAAUCAAGAACGAAAGUUAGGGGAUCGAAGACGAUCAGAUACCGUCGUAGUCUUAACCAUAAACUAUGCCGACUAGGGAUCGGAUGAUGUUAAUUUUUUAAUGACUCAUUCGGCGCCUUACGGGAAACCAAAGUGUUUGGGUUC